CUCUCUUUGCUUGUCCAAACGCACGCAUGAUUCUUGUGGCAUCUCACCAUUAUGAGAGAACGGGAUAGUCUCUUUUGGGAAGAGUAAAUACAGGAGAGCGAGUGAGAGAGAUAGAGGAGGCAUUUUCACCACUAUAAGUAUCCGAGGAAGCCUAUCCCGCCCACAACACGCAUAGCCGUCUCUUCUUCUCUAUCCCACUCUAUUCUUUCUCAUUCAAGUCUUCCCAUCUCUUACCCUGUCUCAGCCAUCAAAAAGGUGAGCGAUAUGUAAUGAGAACCUCAUACGAUUCUCAUCUUGUCGGCUUCCUUUCUUGGGCAAAGAGGGGCACUUUUCAGUUUUCAAGAAGUGAGGGGCGCUGCGGUUCCUGCUGGCAAGACAUGGAGAGGUUGAAUGCAAAGCUCUGCUUGCAGAACUAUUACAUAAUGAAAGAGAACGAGAGGCUGAGAAGGAAGGCACAGCUUCUCAGCCAGGAGAACCAGGCCCUGUUACAUGAGCUAAGAGAGAAGCUUUCCAACUCCAAUCCCAACUUUACCACCGUCAUCAACAGCGCCCCCACAACCAGCGAGGAAUCUAAUGGGAGCAAGCCUUGAUCUAGCAAAAACAUCUACCGAUAACUCCUGUGCUAGCUCAAUUAUAUAUGGUUCUUAUUUUAAACGAUGCAAUGGAGACAGAUAUCCUUAAGCAUAA